rnacentral:rRNA from 1 species
GUCCUAGCCGUAAACGGUGCACGUUUGCUGUAAAAGGAAUCGACCCCUUUGUGGCGAAGCUAACGCGUUAAACGUGCCGCCUGGGAAGUACGGUCGCAAGAUUAAAACUCAAAGAAAUUGACGGGGGCCUGCACAAGCGGUGGAGUAUGUGGCUUAAUUCGAUGCAACGCGAAGAACCUUACCUGGCCUUGACAUGUAUCUAGUAGAAGGGUGAAAGCCUGACGAGGUAGCAAUACCAGGAUACACAGGUGCUGCAUGGCUGUCGU